UAUUUUCAAAUAAUUUUAAAUCCUUGCUCUAUUUUCCAAAUACCCAUUUCGAAUUGUGUAGCUCUGUAAUAAUUCAGAGAGGCCACAUGCCAAAGUUCAGCCCAUUUUGGUUUUUUUUUUGGCCCUCCAGAUACGCCAUUCUUUUUCUGUAAAUAGAAAAAGAAAAGGUCUUUUUUUUUUGAAAGGCUGGCUCUCUUUUCUUUUUCUUUGCGCCGCAGCUGGCCCACUUUUUGCUCCAGCCUGAACUUCCCCACCCGAUCCCCCAUCUCUCCCAUUCGUUCCCGUGCCCGCCUCCACACACCCACACAGCCAGCGCUGCGCAUCGCUCUCGUCGCGUGUGCGCCACAAGGUCGGCUCCCAUGGCAGCCGUCGUCGUUUGACGACUCCGGCGAGGGUACGCCGUCCUCUUCCGCGUCGCGCCCAUCCUCUCCCCCUGCUCGUACCCAACGCAAGCUCGCGCAGCCAUGGCCAUGGGCACCCUUGUUGCCUCGCGGAUCCGCCCCGGCCGGACCUCCGGCGAGCCCUGGAGCUGCUCCACUCCACCACCAGCGAGGAAGCCGUGCCUCUGCACCUCUUUGUGCCUCCCCCUCUGCCCCCCUUCCCUUCCUUCCUCUCCUCCCGAUUCUGCCUAUUUUCUGAAUAUCAUGGUCGUUGCAGCUCCUCUCGAUUCAUGGUAAAUCUGAACAGGUUGUUUCCUUGUUCCCUUCCUUUCUCAGUUCAUUCUUCUUCUAUUCGUUCCCUUUGGUACCCCUUAUUGAUCCUUCAAACUGUUAGGUUGAUCUCUCCACCAAUGGGCCCAACGGCUCAUUGGGCCCUUGACCCACGCCCUGAUCGAGGGCGUCCAGCCCAAGCAAGGCUGGUGGGCCCCUGUCGCGCAGUGCUAUAAAGAGGAGGUGGGGACUAGGGGCACGGGGUACGAGGUUCGUCACCGCCACUGUUCCCCACUCCUAACUCUAUCCGAUCCAGAGGAAGGCACUGAAGCGAUGGGAAGCUCCACCGCUGCCACUCAUGCACUUCACCGUUGACCUCUACACCGACCGUCGCUGCCCGUGCGCCUCCAUCGACGAACCAGCAAUGGCCGGAACGCUAAGGAGGUGGAGGAAGAAAGAGAUGGAGAAAGAAAAGGAAGGAAGGGAGCUCGAGCGGCGCAGCACGGCGCGGUGGUGCGUCGCCGUCGUCGGCGACCGGCGCGGCACGGUGACCGAGUGGCCGGCGUCGAGCGCAACGGCUCAGUUCGGGAGCGAGAGAAGAGCGGCGCGAGAGGGAAAGAAUGGGUUAGGGUUUGCCCGAGCGGCGCGGUUGGAUCGCUUUGAUCGGGCGAGAUCGGCACUGGAUCGUUGGAUCGCGUCGAUGGCCGCGAUAAAACCCUAGCCUGUCGGCGCGGGCUUUUGGGCCGGAAAGGGAGCAGGCGCACUUUGGCCUGAGGCCGGCUGAGCUGCUGGGCCGGCAGAGCCGGCGGCCCAGGCCGGCAGCCGCGCGCGAGCCAACUGGACCCUGAGUGGCUGGGCCAUUUUCGGCCAAGGCAGGCGCACACGGCGCGCGAGCAGGCCGUGGGCCAGGAAACGCAAAGCACAGGCCGUGUUUUAUUUGUUUUUUGUCCAAUUUUUGGAUUGAUGCAUCCAGUUUUCUGUUUUAUUUUCUAUUUAAAAUUAAUCCAACGAAAAUUUGUUUAGAAAAUAGAAAAGUGAUAGAGAUGCUUCUGAAAAGUAAAAAGUUCAUGAAUUUUUAUUCAUGUUUUUUCCUCUGCAAAUAAAAAAAAGUGCUAUUUUAAAAGUGAAUAGAACUAAAGUAAGAGAUUAAACUGUUGCUUCUCUAAUGCUUUUUGAACCAACUGGUUAAAAUUGCUUAGAGAGUAAAAGAGUACAGAAUUAUUUCUGAAUAGAAUAUUGUAAAGUUUCCGCUGCAAAGUAAAAGUUUUAUUCUCCAAUUAAAUUGGAACCAACGAGAAAAUUUAAUUGGAAGAACUGUUCUUAGCAAUGUUUUUCCCCUGUGGGUGAAAUCAGAUUCAGAUAGUUUCCGCUAUGACAAAAGAAAGAUAUUAGUUUAAAAGUUAAAAUAUGGUAUUGUUAUUUUCUGACCAACGUUGAUGAUAACAGUAUUAUAAUUCUAUGAGUCUUAUGUUCAAAGCUUAAAUCUCUGAUAAUUUUUGUAUCAAAGUAAUCAAUUUUCAGAGAACAAAUAAAGAUCAAGAAAUGCUCUUGAGCUAGAGAAAUGUAUAUUUCUUGUUCCCGCUGCAAUAAAGUUGAUGAUGAUUAUUA